rnacentral:misc_RNA from 1 species
AAGUCGUAACAAGGUUUCCGUAGGUGAACCUGCGGAAGGAUCAUUACCAAUUCGAUCAUGUGAUGUGCGGCUCCGGCCUCAUGUCAUUCAACCAACCCUUGAUUGUGAACAUGUGAGAAUUACAAGUCUUUCCGUGGUGGGGGUGGUGGUGGGAUUAUGUGUGCAUUGUAUGCAUAACCCGCCGCCACAUAUCCACCCACGGGGAGCAAUCUUUUAUUCAACCCCAACGAUGGAGGACGAGGCGUGUGUGAGCGUUGUUCGGAGGCGCACUGUGCUUCUGAACACCCACCCACACCCGCUUAUACUCCACAAAAGGAAGCGAUGAGCUCCGAUGUAUGAGAAAGAAAAAAGUUGUAUACAACUUUUAACGGCGGAUCUCUUGGCUCGU